AAAGCGGCAACAAAAAAAAACACUUAGACAAAAAAUGACCCUAGGAGAGAGAGGCAACCAACGCAUAUACCCCAUUUGCAAAACUCAUUAGCCCGGCCGCUGCUAUGUCGACUCUCUCUGCUAGAAACCCUUUCUCGACAAACCCAACCGGACCAUCACUCUUUGACCAAACUUGACGAUCGCUUCCCUUCCCAUCCCAUCACUUUUAGUUUUCUUCCAUUCCCAUCUCUUCCCAAUUCAAUCCCAAAACAAACUCGGGCGUCACGUUACGAGGGUCAUGAAGAAGAGUGGGCUGGCGGUGGAGGCGGCUAAGUUAUGCGAAGGGGGUGGUGAGAGAGCGAGUUGGGGUAUCAAAGAGUGACGGCGGGAGAGGAGGAUGAGAUUGGGGUUGGGUUAGGGUUUAGGUGCAGAGGCGUCGGCGGAGAGAGAGACGGAGCUUGGGGAUGGGAUUGGGAGUGGGAUCGAGCUUGAGGAAGGGACAUGGAGCGAAGAAGCAUUUGAAUUUAGGGUUUUGUUUGGAAUACUUUUGCUUGUGCAUGUACCAAAUUUGUUUACUUAUCCUGGUUAUACUCCAAUCCAUACGGAAUCAAUUGAUGAUGCCUACCAAACACUUCCUGGUGGAGAGCAAAUCUGUCCUAAGAGGAAUGCCAACUUAUUUUCCAGAAUAUUAUUUUCAUGGGUGAGUCCCUUUAUGAAGCUUGGCUAUCAAAGACCUCUUACGAAGAAGGAUAUAUGGAAAUUGGAUACCUGGGAUCAGGCUGAAACGCUGAGCAAUAAGUUCCAAAAAUGUUGGGCUGAUGAAAACCGAAAGCCUAAACCAUGGCUCUUGAUAGCCUUAAACUGUAGCCUUGGAGGAAGGUUCUGCUGGGGAGGCUUUUGGAAGGUGAUUAUCUUCUUCUUCUUUUCUUCCUUUCUGCUUUUCACACAUCUCAUUCAGAUGUCACUAUUGUUCUUUUUCCUUUUUUCUUUUCAUGUAAGUAUAAUAGAUAGCACAAUCUCGACACGCAUAAUACAUGAAUUGUUAGUCCAACGGGCUCAUUACAGCAUACAUGGUUCUCCUCUUUACUAGUCAUUGUGGAAAUUUGCACUCUGACCUUAAAGUAAUCAAAAGUCAAGACAAAACCUCUCUUUUGCUUGUUUCUAAUUAUUGUAAGCAGCAUAUGCUCUAUAGUAUUUCUCCUCUUUACUACUUUGUAUGUGAGGAGCAUUCAGGAAGCCAUUUUCAACCUUCCCUUCUCAAAGCUGCUAGUUGUGCACAAUUGUGCAAUGCAGUUUAUUGCCUAUUGAUUAGUUUUUUUUUUUCCUGAAACUUGCAGGUUGAUGCUACAAAUCGUGGAGGAAUUGCUAGAUUCAUAAACCAUUCUUGUGAGAGAGAAAGCCAAGAGCUGUAGGUUGUUGUGAGGGUUUUUUUUUUUUUUUUUUAAUGAUAGUAUUGCAUAUUCUGGGAAUGUUAUCGUUCUUCACAGAUUGACCUAGUCGAAUCCAGUCUUCACCACUACCGCGUCUACUCCAUUUCCGACGACAUCAGGUACUCUUUCUCUCUCACUCUCUGAUUUUGAAUCUAGGCCGCUCAAUCAAACCGAUUCGUUGCUAAUAUGAUUAAGUAAAAUUGGGGAUCAAAUUGAAGCCAUAGAGCAGGAGGUACAGGCUGUAGAUUCAGUUCUUUGUCUUGUUGUUUUCUUUUUUUUCACCAUUGUCUUUUGAAAGUUGAAUAAAAGAUAUGCCAGUAGCAGCGAAUUUAAAUUUGCUUAGUAAAUUUCAUUUAGAUUACAUUUGUUAGAUGAAUAUAAUUAGAGUCCAGGGAUUCUGUUCUGUUGAUUAUCAUAUUUGAUUCUUGGAACUUGUAGAAGAGCAGAGGUUAAUGUUGGAGAACACAAUUAAGCAUUGUGGGAAUAAGAUUGCGUAUAUAUGACAUGAAAUAGAGAAAUUUGAGAUGAACCAUGUAUAGUACAUUAUUACCUGCAUAAACACAAUUAGAGAAAUCAGAUUCUUGAAGCUUUCAUAACUAGCAAUCUAGUUUGAUUGCUUUUAAUUUAUGUUUCCAGUUUAUAUAGUUCAAUAUAGAGCUUCUUAUACUGAUGGAAUAAUUGAUAUACCUGCAUCUUAUUCUUUCACUUUCCUUGGAUCCUUGCUCAUUUUGUGAGCUUAGGGCCAGUGUACGGUUUUAAGUGGAGGAUCAAUUAUAUAAUUCGAAAAAGAUCUUGUUUUCAUGUCAAGCUGUUUAUAGAAUUCUUUCAUGUUACUAAGCAGAAUAAGAUUUGAUACAUUUUUGAGUUCUAAUAGUUCCCUCUGAUUUCCUUGUAGCUUUUCUAAUGCCAAUUUGAACAAAGCCAUUGUUUUAGUCUGCUAAUAUUUCUAUUCCUUCACAUUGUUUGAGAGAAGGGGGAACUUUUCCUCUAAUUUCAUCAGCGUACAGAGACUGAUAUAGAGUUUUAGCUCUAAAUGGCUCAAGAUACAAAUGACGCUAAGUUGCCUAGGCCACUAACUUUAUGCCUAUUUUGCUGUCUUUACAAUGGAUAACUAUAAUGAUGCUACUCGUAUCAUUGACGGCAACUUCGAUGGUAAGCAAUCUCACUCUCACUUGGAUCAACUAUUAAUUUCUCCAGUUCUCAAUAUCUUACUUUUUAUUUUAUUAAAUUUUUCUCCCUAUGUUCUGAAUCGAUCUUCAGUACCGCUAACUGUUUAUAUUUUUCUUAAAACUGAAAGUGUAAUUCUAUUGUCUU